rnacentral:rRNA from 1 species
AAUCUUCCACAAUGGACGGAAGUCUGAUGGAGCAACGCCGCGUGAGCGAAGAAGGUUUUCGGUGCGUAAAGCUCUGUUGUAAGGGAAGAACACGUACGGGAGUCACUGCCCGUACCUUGACGGUACCUUAUCAGAAAGCCACGGCUAACUACGCGCCAGCAGCCGCGGUAAUACGUAGGUGGCAAGCGUUGGCCGGAAUUAUUUGGCGUAAAGCGCGCGCAGGCGGUGCUUUAAGUCUGAUGAGAAAGCCCACGGCUCAACCGUGGAGGGUCAUUGGAAACUGGAGGACUUGAGUACAGAAGAGGAAAGCGGAAUUCCACGUGUAGCGGUGAAAUGCGUAGAGAUGUGGAGGAACACCAGUGGCGAAGGCGGCUUUCUGGUCUGUAACUGACGCUGAGGCGCGAAAGCGUGGGGAGCAAACAG